GACGAACGCUGGCGGCGUGCUUAACACAUGCAAGUCGAACGGAAAGGCCUGCUUUCCCUUGUGGAUUGCGGGUACUCGAGUGGCGAACGGGUGAGUAACACGAGAGUGAUCUGCCCCCAACUUGGGUAUAAGCCUGGGAAACUGGGUCUAAUUCCCGAUAGGACUGCAGGGUGGUGCCUGUGGUGGAAAACGAUUUUCUAGUGGUUGGGGAUGAGCUCGCGGCCUAUCAGCUUGUUGGUGGGGUAAUGGCCUACCAAGGCGGCGACGGGUAGCCGGCCUGAGAGGGUGGACGGCCACAUUGGGACUGAGAUACGGCCCAGACUCCUACGGGAGGCAGCAGUGGGGAAUAUUGCACAAUGGGCGGAAGCCUGAUGCAGCGACGCCGCGUGGGGGAUGACGGCCUUCGGGUUGUAAACUCCUUUCGACCGCGAGGAAGCCACCUGGUUGGAAGGGUGGUGACGGUAGUGGUAGAAGAAGCACCGGCUAACUACGUG
rnacentral:rRNA from 1 species